ACUUAAAUUGAAGAGUUUGAUCAUGGCUCAGAUUGAACGCUGGCGGCAGGCCUAACACAUGCAAGUCGAGCGGUAGCACAGAGAGCUUGCUCUCGGGUGACGAGCGGCGGACGGGUGAGUAAUGUCUGGGAAACUGCCUGAUGGAGGGGGAUAACUACUGGAAACGGUAGCUAAUACCGCAUAACGUCGCAAGACCAAAGUGGGGGACCUUCGGGCCUCAUGCCAUCAGAUGUGCCCAGAUGGGAUUAGCUAGUAGGUGGGGUAACGGCUCACCUAGGCGACGAU
rnacentral:rRNA from 1 species